rnacentral:rRNA from 1 species
AUUGAACGCUGGCGGCAGGCCUAACACAUGCAAGUCGAACGGUAGCACAGAGAGCUUGCUCUCUGGUGACGAGUGGCGGACGGGUGAGUAAUGUCUGGGAAACUGCCUGCUUGUGGGGGAUAACUACUGUAAACGGUAGCUAAUACCUCCUAAUGUCGCAAUACCACAGAGGGGGACCUUCGGGCCUCUUGCCAUCGGAUGUGCCCAGAUGGGAUUAGCUUGUUGGUGAGGUAAUGGCUCACCAAGGCGACGAUCCCUAGCUGGUCUGAGAGGAUGACCAGCCACACUGGAACUGAGACACGGUCCAGACUCCUACGGGAGGCAGCAGUGGGGAAUAUUGCACAAUGGGCGCAAGCCUGAUGCAGCCAUGCCGCGUGUGUGAAGAAGGCCUUCGGGUUGUAAAGCACUUUCAGCGGGGAGGAAGGCAAUGCGGUUAAUAACCGUGUUGAUUGACGUUACCCGAAGAAGAAGCACCGGCUAACUCCGUG